rnacentral:lncRNA from 1 species
UUGAUCUUCUCAUAAUAUUUUACGGUCACUUCAACUGACAUAGGAAGUCAACUAACAGGGUUCAAAUUUCAGCAACAAGCUAGGCAAAACACAUCCAAAACUCAGGAACUUGUAGCAACUUAGAAGGUCAUCUCAUGGGGCUUGUCACCGUCCCUGAGAGAGAACCGGGCACCAAGGUAGUUCUUAAGGUCAGGGACAGCCUCGAUAGCCUUGAUCAGCUCAGCAUCGAUGGCCUUCUGGUCAUCCUUUUUGAAGGAUGGCAGAUUCUUGGUGGUCUGCAGGUUAACAGACAAGAGACAGAACUAAGUUGCGGAGCAAAGAAUGACAUAAACAUGAGCUGAUCGUCCAGUGGUUCAGGGACGUACCUCCUUCUCAGUCUCGAACAGCUCCCCUUCAGUCUUCUUUGCCCUGGUCUUCUUGUCCCUGGCGAAGUACUUGUCAUCGAACUUCUCCACCUUAACACCAGAGAUGUCAACCUUUGUGGAUGUGGCAAUCACAUAAGCCUGGUUCACCCGGCGAACUG